ensembl:lncRNA
AUGGCUCACAGCCACCCAGGUGCACGGCAGUUGCCCUUCCUCCAGAAAUGGACAGAAGCCUGUUCCUCCCAGACAUGCCUAAACUCGGACCAUCACAGCCUCCUGACCCUCUGCUCCUACCUGAGUGACACAAAGGCUUUUGAUCAGGUUACUAGUUCAGGUAAGCAGAUUGUACAUGUUUAUUAGCCAGUUUUCCUUUCAUUAAAUUGCCUGCAUCAAACUUUAUUUUUCUACUGUAUCUUUACCUACAUGUAAAUAUUAAUAAUUUUGGAAAAUAGGAUGUGCUGUAAAUAUUUUCUCUCAACUUUACUUUUGUUGUUGACUAUUUUGUUUUAUAGGAUGUUUCCUGAAUCAAAAUGGUGAAUUUUUUGCCCAAGUCUCCCAAUACCUUCCUUUUGGUUGGGAAGUCUUCCCCUACACCACUGUUAUUUCAAGUAUUGUAUUAAGUUUUCUUCAAGUAUUAAUAUUACAUUCAUGCUUAUUUUUCAGUUGACCUAAAAUUUUGCUAUUUAUGUCUACUAUACUUUUACUUUUUUUUCCUAAGUGCUUGGUAGUUUUCUUUUUCAAAAUCCUUUCAGCAUUUAUUUCCUAUUCCAACUAGGAAAUGAAUCCACAUGGUUCAAAGACAAAACAAAUAUAAUUAAGCAUCUCUUGCUCCACCCCUCUCCUCUGUAACAUGUUCCCUCAUUUCCUCCCUCUACUAACCACUUUUAUUCAUUGAAUGAGUGUCUUUUAAUGUUUAUUAGUGCAGAGGCAAUAUAAAUAUAUGUUCUUAUUUCUUGUUUUUGCCCUUUCAUUCUCAAAAGCUAUUACUUUUUUUCUGGUAUAAUGAGUACUUCCUUAGCUAAGAGUACAUCAUGGAAUCUGGUCAUCCCUUGACUGUGUGUGUGUGUGUGUGUGUGUGUGUGUGUGUGUGUGUGUAUUCUUUUGCACCUCCAUUAAGUCUCUGUACUUUGGGGAAAUGAGAUUUAGUUUUUUAGAUGAAAUCAGUCAUUUGUCCAGUUACUCAACAGCUUGGUAAAAUUCUGAUUUUAUUUACAAUUUUAUCUGUCGUGUGGAUAUGACACCAAAAGCACAAGCAACAAAACCCAAAAAUCAACAAGUAAGACUCUGUCAAACUAAAAACCUUCUGCCCUGUGAAGGAAACCACCAACAAUAGGAAAAGGCAACCUGUAUUAUGGGAGAAAAUAUUUCCAAACCACUGAUGCAAUAAGGGAUUAAUACUCAAAAUAUAUAAAGAACUCACAAAACUCAUGAACAAAAGACCUAAAAAUCCUAUUUUAAAAAUGGGCCAAUGACCAUAAUAGGCAUUUUCCAAAGAAUACAAAUAGCCAGCAGGUAAAUUAAAAUAUGUCAAACCACUAAUCACCAAUGAAACACAAAUCAAAAUCACAGUGAGAUAUCACCUCACACCUGUUGGAAUGACUGUCACCAAAAAGACAAGAUAUAACCAGUGUUAGUGAGGACAUGGGGAAAACGCCACUGUUGGUGACACUGGAAUUUGGUGCAGCCACUAGGGGAAGCAGUAUGGAGGUUCCUCAAAAAAUUAAAACUAGGAUUUCCCAUUGUGCCUAGGAGUUCCCAUUGUGCCUAAGCAGUAAUCCAUGAGGACUCGGGUUCAAUCCCUGGCCUCACUCAGUGGGUUAAGGAUCCACCAUUGCCAUGAGCUGUGGUGCAGGUUGCAGGCAUGGCUUGGAUACCACGUGGCUGAGGCUGUGGCCAUGGUGUAGGCCAGCAGCUGCAGCUCCAAUUUGACUCCUAGUCUGGGAACUUCCAUAUGCCGCAAGUGCAGCCCUAAAAAGAAAAGAAAAAUUAAGGCUAGAACUACCAGGUGGUCCAGGAAUUCCCUUUCUGAAUAUAUAAAUCAAAAGGAAAUUAAAUCAUUAUCUUGAAGAGUAGUGUGCACCCCUGUAUUUAUUGCAGCAUUUUCACAAUAGGCAAGAUAUGGAAACAACCUAAGUGUCUACUGAUGGAUGGAUGGAUAUACAGAAUGGAAUAUAACUUAGCGAUAAAAAAGAGGAAAUCCUGCUAUUUGCAACAACACAGAUGGACCUUGAGGACAUUAUGCUGAGUGAAAUUAGUCAGUCAGAGAAAGACAAAUAUAAUGUGAUCUCACUUAACAUGGAAUCUUAAAAAAAAAACUCAUAGAAACAGUAUGAUGGUGGUAGCCUGGGAUGGUGGAUGGGGAACUGGGGAAUGUUCAAAGGGCACAAAGUCCCAAUUAUAACAUGAAUAAGUUCUAGGAAUCCAGUGUACUGCAUCAUGACUACAGUGGGUAAACUAUACUAUAUUCAUGAAAGUUGCUAGGAGCAUAGAUCAUAAAUAUGCUCACCACAUAAAAAAAAUUGUAAAUAUGUGAGGUGAUGGAGGUGCUAACUUACCGCAAUCAUUUCACAAUAUAUAUGUGUAUAAAAUCAUCAAAUUGUGCACCUUAAAUGUACACAGUUAUGUGCCACAUCUUUAUAAAGCAGGAAAAAACUUAGGGUAUCCUCCUAUGAAUGUAUAAAGAUGAUGUAGGCAUGUUACGGACACUGUUUUGCCUCUUAUUUUUAUCCCAAUGUAUAACACAUGUUAGCUUUGUGCAGAGAAAGCAUACUUUAUCCAUUCUUCCUUUCACUAGUUUCAUAAUAAUCCUUUUUUUUUUUUUUAAUGGCUAAACCCUCAGCAUGUGGAAGUUCCUGGGCUAGGGGUGGCAUUGGAACUGCAGCUGCUGGCCUAUACCACAGCCAUGGGAACACUGGAUCCAAGCUGCAUCUGUGACCUACACCCCAGCUCAUGGCAAUACCAGAUCCUUAACCCACUGAGCAAGGCCAGGGAUCAAACCUGCAUCCUUGGACUUUCCGUCUCGGCAUGGUGGAAAC